CAGAGAUUUUGAAAGGCAUGCAAUUCCCAAAGAUAUGCAAGAACUCUGACAAAAAGGCACCUGAGAAGAUCAUUGAUCAUGAGUAUGCUUCCGAGUCCUUUGGUUUGGAGAUCUUAAUUAUCGUGUUUCUUUGCCUUAUGAAGAAGCUAGGUUACUGCUAGAGGAAAAUGAUUGGGAUACCCUCCUUGAGAAAGAUCAGGGCUUCGGAGCGGUUUUGGGAGCCAUAUCUCGCAAUCUUGCAGAUCUUCAGGACCACCAAGAAAGCUAUGUAUCGAUAUAUGAUCAACCGGUUCUUCAUCUCCAGUUUACUUAAACUGCAGGCAGUGCAACCAACAGAAGAAAUGAUUCACAAGGAGAAAGAAGAGAAGAAUUUCAGCAACGGAAGCUUAGUUGAAGUGAGCAGUGACGAGGAUGAUUCACAAGGGGUACACUGGCUUUGAUACUUAUAGAGGCAGCCAGAGGAGGGAAGAAGCUCCCUAUGGAAGUGGAGCAGAAAAUAAUGACUUCGGGUAUCACAUUAGUCUUGUUUCUUGGGGUAUAUCUUAUUAUCCGUGACACUCUAAAUCUUGAUAUCAUCAAAGAUAUGUUGUGAUUGUGAUUGAGAUCAAGUUCAGUUCAUUGAGGAACCCUAUCCUAGCUAAAAGAUCAAUUCACUUUGAUUAGUAGAGUGACUAAUCUAUGUGGGCUGCAUUUCUAAAGUCUUUGGUGACUCAAAAUAUUUAGUUUUGUUCCAGAUUUUUGUUGUGGAGUUUAAAUUAGUGUACAUGUAAUUAUAUGAGAUUUGUAUUACAUUUUGUUCCAAGUAUACUAGAAUUUAGUUCUCGAAUUAUUUUUCACUUGUAUCUACAUUUAUUAUCAAUAAUAAUUGAAUUUAUUAA